CGGGCUGAUUCUAGGCCCAAUUGGGGCGGAUGCUACACUGAGCAUAAUGCUUCUUGGUUAUUUUGUCCGGUUUCCACAAAAAUGAUCGUCAAACUACAUUAAAUACUUUGGUGUACUACAUUUAUAUUAAGACUUGUGCAAAUUAUCGGUGGAUCUCACAGCACAAUGAGAAGAAAUAAAAACAGAAGUAGAACCGGAUGAAGAAGAGUGAAAUUAUAGAAGAAGCAAUCAAUUAAAUGAAAGGCCCACUACCUUGGAACAUUUGCAUAGAAA
rnacentral:lncRNA from 1 species